rnacentral:rRNA from 1 species
GGAAUAUUGGGCAAUGGGGGGAACCCUGACCCAGCAACGCCGCGUGAGGGAAGAAGGUUUUCGGAUCGUAAACCUCUGUCCUUGGUGAAGAGAGAGAGACGGUAGCCAAGGAGGAAGCCCCGGCUAACUACGUGCCAGCAGCCGCGGUAAUACGUAGGGGGCGAGCGUUGUCCGGAAUGAUUGGGCGUAAAGGGCGCGUAGGCGGCCCGGUAAGUCUGGAGUGAAAGUCCUGCUUUUAAGGUGGGAAUUGCUUUGGAUACUGUCGGGCUUGAGUGCAGGAGAGGUAAGUGGAAUUCCCAGUGUAGCGGUGAAAUGCGUAGAGAUUGGGAGGAACACCAGUGGCGAAGGCGACUUACUGGACUGUAACUGACGCUGAGGCGCGAAAGCCAGGGUAGCGAACG